AUUGAACGCUGGCGGCAGGCCUAACACAUGCAAGUAGGGCGGAGCGGCGGACGGGUGAGUAAUACCUAGGCAUCUGCCUGGUGGUGGGGGAUAACGUACGGCAACGGGCGAUAAUACCGCAUAAUAUAAGCUCAGCCUAGGUAGGAUUAGCUAGUUGGUGGGGUAAAGGCCUACCAAGGCAACGCUCCGUAACUGGUCUGAGAGGAUGAGCAGUCACACUGGAACUGAGACACGGUCCAGACUCCUACGGGAGGCAGCAGUGGGGAAUAUUGGACAAUGGGCGAAAGUCUGAUCGAGCAAUGCCGCGUGUGUGAAGAAGGUCUUCGGAUUGUAAAGCACUUUAAGUUGGGAGGCGUUACCUACAGAAUAAGCACCGGCUAACUUCGUGCCAGCAGCCGCGGUAAUUC
rnacentral:rRNA from 1 species